rnacentral:rRNA from 1 species
AGUGAACGCUGGCGGCGUGCUUAACACAUGCAAGUCGAACGAGAACGGGCUAUAGCUUGCUAUAGUUGUCAGCUAAGUGGCGCACGGGUGAGUAAUGUAUAGGUAAUAUGCCUCUUACUAAGGGAUAACAAAUGGAAACGUUUGCUAAUACCUUAUACUCCUUAUUAACAGAAGUUAAUAAGGGAAAGAUUUAUUGGUAAGAGAUUAGCCUGUAUUGUAUCAGUUAGUUGGUGGGGUAAUGGCUUACCAAGACUAUGACACAUAACUGGUUUGGGAGGAUGAACAGUCACACUGGAGCUGAGACACGGUCCAGACUCCUACGGGAGGCAGCAGUGGGGAAUAUUGCACAAUGGACGAAAGUCUGAUGCAGCAACGCCGCGUGGAGGAUGACACAUUUCGGUGCGUAAACCCCUUUUAUAUGAGAAGAUAACGCCGGUAUUAUAUGAAUAAGCACCGGCUAACUCCGUGCCAGCCGCCGCGGUAA